GUGUCAGCCGCCGCGGUAAUACGUAGGGAGCAAGCGUUGUCCGGAUUUACUGGGUGUAAAGGGUGCGUAGGCGGCUAUGCAAGUCAGGCGUGAAAUAUAUGGGCUUAACCCAUAGACUGCGUUUGAAACUGUGUAGCUUGAGUGAAGUAGAGGUAGGCGGAAUUCCCGGUGUAGCGGUGAAAUGCGUAGAGAUCGGGAGGAACACCAGUGGCGAGAGCGGCCUACUGGGCUUUAACUGACGCUGAGGCACGAAA
rnacentral:rRNA from 1 species